rnacentral:rRNA from 1 species
UACGGAGGUGGCAAGCGUUGCUCGGAAUCACUGGGCUUAAAGCGCGUGUAGGCGGAUGGGAACGUCGGUGACUGAAAGCCCCCGGCUCAACCGGGGAAGUGGUGCCGAAACGACCCGUCUGGAGGGACGUAGGGGGACCUGGAACUUCCGGUGGAGCGGUGAAAUGCGUUGAGAUCGGAAGGAACGCCCGUGGCGAAAGCGAGGUCCUGGACGGCGUCUGACGCUGAGACGCGAAAGCUAGGGGAGCGAACGGG